AUAUAUAUAUAUAUAUAUAUAUAUAUAUAUAUAUAUAUAUAUAUAUAUAUAUACACACACAUAUAUAUAAUUAAAACGUGAAUAUUUGCUUUUAGUGAUGAUGCAUUUAUGUACAUUGUGUCUUCAAGUGCACACAAAUUGACACGUGCAGUCAAUGACAAGGAUGUAGCUUGUUAUUGUGAGAAUUUGCAUAUCAGUUUCUGAGUGCUGCACUUCGCCGGUAAAAGCAAACUCCAAGGACAUUUUCCCUCGACUAAUGUCAUGCAUUAUGUACUGCUUUGAAUUGUUAAGAAAUUUCCAGGUGUUACUCUGGCCUCGCGGAAACAUUACUUAGUCAUUUUAAAGUAGUAAGUAAGUCUGAUUUGUUUUCAAGGUGUUCAAGUUUGUCAUCUCGUCGCUGUGGAGGGAAAAUGUGCGGUUGUGUUGUGCAACAUUUGAAUGAUGGCUAAGUUUUCUUGUGUGCCUUUAAAAAGAGAAGUCUGGACAAACUUUGGUGUGUUAGGCUCCUCACUGUGAAAACCAGGAGGAAUACCGAGGUUCAUUUUCAUCUUAAAGUCACUCUUUCGUGGUUGUGAUGCCUCUGACGUGAGCAGGUGUAACUAACGUAGAUACAAAGCUAUCGUGUGUUGGCACGAAAGCAAAUACUUCAGUGUGCUUAAUAUCAGUGCGUGCAUUUAUUCACUGCUAAAGAUGAAAUGUUUAAAUAUCGCCUUGUUCCCUCUGUCUCUGCAUUGCAUAAUACUGGAAUUUUGUUGUGAGUGUUGAGAGAUGCUCAGCUUUGACAUGUCUACCUGGUUUCUUUUUUCUUCCUGACCAAAUAUGACCUAGCAGAAAUCAAACAUUGUGGAACAUUUUUAAUAGAAAAAAAUACAUAGUAUUGAGGAGUGUUAUAUUAACUGUACAUUAUGAGGUUUAUUUAUUUAUCAAUGCUACUAUAAAGAAUUAUCACUGUUAGUUAGUGUCCAAAAUGUAAGAAAUAUUGUUUAUUUGAAGCUGCAUAGUGGAAGACUACAGAAAACUUUAUUUCCUCGAAAGGCCCUGUGGUUGUCAGCUGAUUUUCUCUUCAAGAAGUACUUUGACAUUUUGGGAACUGCUUAUCCACUUUGUGGUAGAGAGUUAGAUGAGAAGAUCAAUACCACUCUCCAGUGGCUGCAUGCAGCUAAGUGCAUUAACUCAAGCACUGUACUUAACUACAACUUCACUUGAGUAUUACCAAAUUAUAAUUAGAUAUAAUAUGUAUAAUGCUCUUCUUUUAGUCGCUCUAGACAGUGAUCUCAAAGCUCCAGUUGCCAGCUACGUUGCAUAUUAUCCGACAAAAUAUGAGUUAAUUCUCGACCAUGCUGCAGCUUUGAACAGCUGUAUACACACACCAAUGCACCAGUUUAAUAAUUACUGCAACAACAGGACAUUUUUUUCUAACAUGGUGAUUACUUCUUAACUUCAACUUAAGCCAUUCUCAGGAUGCAGGCUUUCACGUGUGAUAGAGUAUUCUGACAGUGAGAUAUUGCACAUCACUUUUACAUAUUGAUAUAACUGAAAUGUAAUGCAUAAAAUGACAAUAUGGAAACACGGCGUUACCUCAAUCUGCAGCUUCGCUAGUUCAACGAAGCUUUAGGAGUCAGGAAGUUGAGUAUUUCCCCCAGAAGUUCACAGAGACCAAAAACAGGACGCUAAAUGUACUGGACUCAACAUUCAUCAGGUGAGCAGGAACACAACUCCAAAUAAAUGACAUUGCUUCUGCAUAAAUGCUGGAUGUGUAAAUAAGAAACUAGGUUCAACUACGUUUAAAGUUGAUGUUACGUUUCAUUUACAACUUGUGGCCAAAUAUUCCGAAAAUAACGCUACAUGCUACACCUUAGCUUAGCAAACCGACUGGAAACAGGUGAUGCUAGCUUGUUCUGAUUAACGUAAAUCAAUCCGCUGCAAAGCACGACCAACGACUUCCUUUUUAACGUCACUGGUUGCCAGGCAACUGGGUCCUGCCAAAAAAAAAAAAAAAAAUAGUGCACCCAAGUCCGGUACAUAACCCACUGUAAAAAUAAUGAAUUGUCAUUUUCACACUUUUUAAAAAUCUCAAAUGAAUUACUAAGCUUUUGCCGUGUCUGUAGGCGUUUUUUUGUUCGUUCGAUUUACCUUUGUACGAAGUCAUGCUAGCAUCGCCUAUUUCUUUGUGCUAAAUUAAGCUAACUAGCUGCUAGCAAUAUCACUUUCAUAUGAGAAUGGUAUGGAUAUUUUCAUCAGUUUUUUUUUUUAUUUCCCAAAAUGCCAAAUGUUUUAACAUAUACUACAAUAUGGUUUUAAAAGAAAAUCAAAUGGUUACAGCUGGCAUUCUUUACCUUUACCUUUUGGUAAUAUUAUGUUUGUUCUUCUUGGGUAUAUUUAAAUUGUGCUUUAGUGAGUAGUUCCAUUAAUUCUGGCAGCCUGUUAUAUUUUCAAACGUGACCAAAUAUUUUCCAGUCCAAACAAAACAAAACCAGCAAGUAAGCGAAGGUGGGCACUGUGUAUUUUGGACAAGAGAUUAAGAAUUGGCUCACAGCUUUGGUUUGCUGGUUUGGGAUUUGUAUUAGUCAUUAAAAACAUUCUCAGUGGUUUUUGAAUUUGCUAAUUAUGUUCUGUUUGUUAAAUAAAAUUUAAGUCGU
ensembl:lncRNA